rnacentral:rRNA from 1 species
UACGUAGGGGGCAAGCGUUGUCCGGAUUUAUUGGGCGUAAAGAGCGUGUAGGCGGUUUGGUAGGUCCGUUGUGAAAACUCGAGGCUCAACCUCGAGACGCCGAUGGAAACCAUCAGACUAGAGUCCGGAAGAGGAGAGUGGAAUUCCUGGUGUAGCGGUGAAAUGCGCAGAUAUCAGGAGGAACACCGAUGGCGAAGGCAGGUCUCUGGGCCACUACUGACGCUGAGAAGCGAAAGCAUGGGGAGCGAACAGG